rnacentral:rRNA from 1 species
AACACGUGGGUAACCCACCUAGGGGACCGGGAUAACGGCUCGAAAGGGCCGCUAAUACCGGAUACGCUCCCGGGGGCACAAGCCUCGGGGAGGAAAGGUCGCGCAAGCAGCCACUCCUGGACGGGCCCGCGGCCCAUUAGCUAGUUGGCGGGGUAACGGCCCACCAAGGCAAUGAUGGGUAGCCGGUCUGAGAGGAUGACCGGCCACACGGGGACUGAGACACGGCCCCGACUCCUACGGGAGGCAGCAGUGGGGAAUCUUCCGCAAUGGGCGAAAGCCUGACGGAGCGACGCCGCGUG